AUGAAAGUGAACUGUUCGAAACCACUGCUAUUAUUCUAUUUAGCUGUAAUUCAUCUUGUUAUUCCCACGGCUGCCCAAUACUGUUAUGACACCGGUAACUACACCAGUAACAGUACCUACAGGGCAAACCUCAAUACCCUCCUGGCCUCCACGUAUUCCAACACCGAAAUCGAUUAUGGGUUUUACAAUUUCUCUGCUGGUGAAUCUCCCAACAAAGUAAACGCGAUUGUACUCUGCAGAGGAGACGUUUCGACCGAUGUAUGCCGUACUUGUAUCAAUGAGUCAAGUAGCACCCUAUUGCAGUCUUGUCCAAACCAAAAGGAGGCAAUAAUUUGGGCUGAGAAAUGUGUACUUCGAUACUCGCACAGAUCCAUAUUUAAUAUGUUGGAUACUGACCCUUUAUUAGGCUAUUACAACAUAGGAGAUGUUCCAGACGUAGAAGCUUUCAACAAGGUGCUAAGACCCUCGUUAGAUAGCCUAAGAAACCGUACUGCAUCAGGAAACUCUACUCACAAGUUUGCUCUACAGAGUGUGCCUGUCCCAAACUUCGAAACCAUAUAUGCACUACUGGAGUGCACCCCUGAUUUGAGCAGACUGGAUUGCAACAACUGCUUGUCUCAGGUUCAGGUUUAUAUACCACAAUGUUGUAAUGGAAAGCAGGGAGGGAGAUUUGUAACACCCAGUUGUGAUAUAAGGUAUGAGAUAUACUCUUUUUAUGACCCUGCAGCUGAGCCACCACCAUCACCGCUGCCACCACCACCACCUCCGCCACUAGUCCCAUCUGCUGCAUCCCCACCACCGGAAUUGCCUACAACUACACAAGGAAAGGAGAGAGAGAUAACUCAAACAGCAAUCAUCAUUGUUGUUUCGUCUGUUAUUGCCAUGAUGCUUACCAUCCGUAUUUGCAUCUUUCUUAGAGUGAGGAAGCGAAAGGAUAAUUUUGAAACUGUGGAUGAAAUAACAAGUGUGGAAUCCUUGCAAUUUGACUUAAGUACUAUCAGAGCUGCCACGAACAACUUCUCUGAUGCAAAUAAACUUGGGAAAGGUGGAUUUGGGAUAGUUUACAAGGGUAAACUUUCAAAUGCACAAGAAAUUGCUGUAAAAAGGCUAUCAAGAAACUCUCAACAAGGAGAUAUGGAGUUUAAGAAUGAGGUUCUAUUAUUGGCCAAACUUCAACACCGGAAUCUAGUCAGACUUCUUGAAUUUGCUUGGAAUGGAAAGAGAGACUUCUUAUAUAUGAAUUUGUGUCUAACAAAAGCCUUGAUUACUACAUUUUUGAUCCAAUGAAGCAUCCACAUAUAAAUUGGGAAAGUCGUUACAAAAUCUUAAGAGGCAUUGCUCAAGGAAUUCGAUAUCUUCAUGAGGACUCUCGACUUCGAAUUAUUCAUCGUGACCUCAAAACUAGCAAUAUUCUCUUAGAUACAAAAAUGAACCCUAAAAUUUCAGAUUUUGGCACGGUAAGGAUGUUUGUACUAGAUCAAACCGAAGGUAGUACAAAUAGAAUUGUUGGGACAUAUGAAUAUAUGGCACCAGAAUAUGCAAUAUUAGGACAAUUUUCAGUGAAGUUAGACAUUUUUAAUUUUGGUGUGCUAAUUUUUGAGGUUUUGAGUGGACAAAAAAUUACUUGUUUCUAGAAUGGAGAUAAUAUAGAGUAUCUUCUAAGCUACGCAUGGAAAAAUUGGAGGGAGGAGACAACUUCAAAUCUCAUAGAUCCCACAUUGAGAGAUAGUCCAAUAACUGAAAUGAUGAGAUGUAUCAAAAUUGGGCUACUAUGUGUUCAAAAAUAUGCAAGUGACAAACCAAGUAUGACUUCUGUUGUUCUCAUGCUUAAUGGCAAUUUGGAUCCUAUUCCUACACCAACACAACUUGCAAGUUUCAUGCAGAGCAAUGCUGUAUCAUCCACAUCAGAACAACAUCACACUAGUUCUGUGACUAACAAUGAGGCUUCAAUAACCGAGUUAUGUCCGAGAUAA